rnacentral:rRNA from 1 species
CCUACGGGGGGCAGCAGUGGGGAAUAUUGGGCAAUGGGCGCAAGCCUGACCCAGCAACGCCGCGUGAAGGAAGAAGGCUUUCGGGUUGUAAACUUCUUUUCUGAGGGACGAUAGUGACGGUACCUCAGGAAUAAGCCACGGCUAACUACGUGCCAGCAGCCGCGGUAAUACGUAGGUGGCAAGCGUUAUCCGGAUUUACUGGGUGUAAAGGGUGCGCAGGCGGAUGUAUAAGUCUGAAGUAAAAGCCAUCGGCUCAACCGAUGUAAGCUUUGGAAACUGUAGAUCUAGAGUGCAGGAGAGGACAG